CAGUAGCCGCGGUAAUACGAAGGGGGCUAGCGUUGUUCGGAAUUACUGGGCGUAAAGCGUGCGUAGGCGGCUUUUUAAGUCGGAUGUGAAAUCCCUGAGCUUAACUUAGGAAUUGCAUUCGAUACUGGGAAGCUAGAGUAUGGGAGAGGAUGUUAGAAUUCCAGGUGUAGCGGUGAAAUGCGUAGAGAUCUGGAGGAAUACCGAUGGCGAAGGCAGCCAUCUGGCCUAAUACUGACGCUGAGGUACGAAAGCAUGGGGAGCAAACAGGAUUAGAUACCCCCGUAGUCCCUGUCUCUUAUAC
rnacentral:rRNA from 1 species